GUUGCCUUCUUCUCUGCCCUCUGCUCCUCAGAUUGGACCUGGCCUGUGGACAGAAGUAUGUAUCCUUGGUCUCAUGCCCUUAGGACCCUCCUGAGAGGAGCUGCCCAUGAGUAAUGGAUGCAUUCUGUGGACAGGAGGAUGGAUCCAUAUUCUGCUAACCAUAGGAUUGCACUUAGAUGGAGCAGCAUCCCUGUG
rnacentral:lncRNA from 1 species